GCAGUCGAGCGAUGGAUUAGAGCUUGCUCUUAUGAAGUUAGCGGCGGACGGGUGAGUAACACGUGGGUAACCUGCCCAUAAGACUGGGAUAACUCCGGGAAACCGGGGCUAAUACCGGAUAAUAUUUUGAACUGCAUGGUUCGAAAUUGAAAGGCGGCUUCGGCUGUCACUUAUGGAUGGACCCGCGUCGCAUUAGCUAGUUGGUGAGGUAACGGCUCACCAAGGCAACGAUGCGUAGCCGACCUGAGAGGGUGAUCGGCCACACUGGGACUGAGACACGGCCCAGACUCCUACGGGAGGCAGCAGUAGGGAAUCUUCCGCAAUGGACGAAAGUCUGACGGAGCAACGCCGCGUGAGUGAUGAAGGCUUUCGGGUCGUAAAACUCUGUUGUUAGGGAAGAACAAGUGCUAGUUGAAUAAGCUGGCACCUUGACGGUACCUAACCAGAAAGCCACGGCUAACUACGUGCCAGCAGCCGCGGUAAUACGUAGGUGGCAAGCGUUAUCCGGAAU
rnacentral:rRNA from 1 species